rnacentral:lncRNA from 1 species
GCAGAAGUGCCACAUGCAGGUGAAUUAAAUACAUCUUAGUUAUGCAACAGGAAAAAUGAAUCAUCAACAAUGUGGCAUAGGAUUAAUAUAUCUGCAGAGAAAAUGGUAAUGUGAAAUGAUAACACCAAGCACCCAAUAAUUAGGAUCAACAGCUCUGAGGGGAGGAAAGUUGGUGGCACCUUCCCUAGAUUGUCUUGCCCAAGCCUUUGAAUCACUCCCACACACCAUGCACAUGUGUAUUUAUGUCAAGCUUCGCAUGACUCACCUGCAAAACCCUAAUCUCCCGGGUGGGCAGCC